UUUUAAGAUGAAUGUAAAUCGCUCUGGAUAAGAGCAUCUGCUAAAUGACAAAUG
rfam:Salmo salar isolate Sally breed double haploid chromosome ssa18, whole genome shotgun sequence.